ensembl:lncRNA
CAUAUCCCUGUGAUAGCUGCUGUUGUUGGAGUGGCAGUCUGUGGAGUUGUGGGUCUCCUCUGUGUCAUAUACUGGCUGAGAUCGUGUAAGGGAAAUAAGAAGUCAACAAAUCAAGACACACAGGAUGAUGUGGACUAUGAGAAUGAUCCUCAGGGAGGACGUUCUGGCGCCAUCAAGAUGAGUUCAGUUCACCAGAACCUGAACCCCAACACCGCCCAACCUGAUGCAGUUUACCAGAGCCUGAACCCCAACACCACCCAACCUGAUGCAGUUUACCAGCGCCUGAACCCCAACACCACCCAACCUGAUGCAGUUUACCAGAGCCUGAACCCCAACACCACCCAACCUGAUGCAGUUUACCAGAGCCUGAACCCCAACACCACCCAACCUGAUGCAGUUUACCAGAGCCUGAACCCCAACACCACCCAACCUGAUGCAGUUUA